rnacentral:rRNA from 1 species
GACGAACGCUGGCGGCGUGCCUAACACAUGCAAGUCGAGCGGAAAGACCUGCAUUCUGUUUUUCUUAUGUUAUCGUCGGACGGGUGAGUAAUACGUGGCAAACCUAUCUUUUAGACUGGGCUAACUUCGAGGAACCGGAGAUUAUGUCUGAUUAUAUUUUGGACUGCAGGGUGCAACAGGUGAAGGCGGACGUUUUUUUACUUAUUGAGGGUUCCGCGCUGCAUUAGCUAGUUGGUAGGGGAACGGCUUACCAAGGCAACGAUGCAUAGCCGACCUGAGAGUGUGAUCGGCCACACUGGAACUGAGACACGGUCCAGACUCCUACGGGAGGCAGCAGUAGGGAAUCUUCCGCAAUGGGCGAAAGCCUGACGGAGCAACGCCGCGUGAGUGAUGAAGGUCUUCGGAUCGUAAAACUCUGUUAUUAGGGAAGAACAUAUGUGUAAGUAACUGUGCACAUCUUGACGGUACCUAAUCAGAAAGCCACGGCUAACUACGUG